AAUAUUUUAUUUCGAAAUUAAAAAUAAUAAGCAUUAAAAAAAGAAACAGUACAUAGUUUAUGAUUAAAAAAAAUAAGAUUAUAACGGACUCCGCUCACCAAAGGCAGCACAGUAUUCCUCCUAGAAAGCUAAAAUCACAUCAGUCUUAAAAACUUUUUGAGACCCAAUAUUAAAUGCCUCGCCCGUGCGGGGCCCACCUGUGUGUUUAUCUUCUGGAGGGUGCGUGUAGUGUGGGCCCGUAACUACGGUAAGGCCGGUGGUACAGCUGACGGCAAAUAGCCGGCGGAUAAGUCGCCGGAUGGGUUCGACAUUUCCUACUGCUGCAGCCAACCCCGGCUGUCCGCUUUACUGAGGCCGAUAGACCCACUCAUAUUUUGCCACGUGUCGUUGGAGCUUUGAUUUGAUGGUAGCUCUGUUCACCGUCCCCGCGUCAGCUUAGGUGUAGUCUAGCCUAGCGACUGAGACGCGCUUUAAACAUUCUAUGUUACCAGGGGGGGUUUACUCAGACCAG
rnacentral:lncRNA from 1 species